UACAGAGGGUGCAAGCGUUGUUCGGAAUUAUUGGGCGUAAAGCGCGUGUAGGCGGCUUAGCAAGUCGGGCGUGAAAGCCCUCAGCUCAACUGAGGAAGUGCACCCGAAACUGCUGAGCUUGAGUGCCGGAGAGGAUGGCGGAAUUCCCCAAGUAGAGGUGAAAUUCGUAGAUAUGGGGAGGAACACCGGUGGCGAAGGCGGCCAUCUGGACAGUAACUGACGCUGAGACGCGAAAGCGUGGGUAGCAAACAGG
rnacentral:rRNA from 1 species